AACGAACGCUGGCGGCAGGCCUAACACAUGCAAGUCGAGCGAAGCCUUCGGGCUUAGCGGCGGACGGGUGAGUAGCGCGUGGGAACGUGCCCUUUGGUACGGAAUAGCCCCGGGAAACUGGGAGUAAUACCGUAUGUGCCCUUCGGGGAAAGAUUUAUCGCCAAAGGAUGGGCCCGCGUUGGAUUAGGUAGUUGGUGGGGUAAUGGCCUACCAAGCCGACGAUCCAUAGCGGGUGUGAGAGGAUGAUCAGCCACACUGGGACUGAGACACGGCCCAGACUCCUACGGGAGGCAGCAGUGGGGAAUCUUAGACAAUGGGGGAAACCCUGAUCUAGCCAUGCCGCGUGAUCGAUGAAGGCCUUAGGGUUGUAAAGAGCUUUCAGUGGGGAAGAUAAUGACUGUACCCACAGAAGAAGCCCCGGCUAACUCCGUGCCAGCCGCCGCCGUAACAC
rnacentral:rRNA from 1 species